rnacentral:lncRNA from 1 species
AAAAUAAAAAUAAUAUAAUAUCAAGUAAAAAAAUGAUGAUGAUAAUAUUAAUAAAAGAAAAAAAUAUAUAUAUACAUACAUAUACCAAAAAUAUAUUCAUAAUAAUAGUAUUGAGUAUCAAAAGUAUAUAUCUAAUAUAGACGAAAAUAUAGGCAUAAUAUAAUAUUGAAGGUAUUUACAUGGGAUAAUAAAAAAAUGUAUGAAUAAUGUGAUAUAUUAAAAAUAUAUACAUAAUAUACAUAAAAAUAUUGUAAUAGCCCAAAUUCGCCCAGGCUUAAUAAACCAAACAGAAAACCAAAAAAAUAAAAUAAAAUGUCCAAUUUGUACGGUCCAUGUUACAAAAGAAAUAAAGCCCAAAAGGCAAAUUAUACCCCAUACACCCAUUACACUCGUGGCCCAACACCCAAUACCCCAUUAGCCUAAAUCAAACCCAGAUACCAACACUACCCGGUAGACCCAACCCGUUACAUUAUAGACCCAUUUCUAAAAGCCUACUCCUAAGACCCAAUAAGCUGCAUCCCGAAAGCCCAAAUGCUUAACCCUAGGUCAGGAACCCUAGGGUUUCUGCACCUUUCAGCGCCGUAAGCAUCCACAGACCUCGUAUCGAGCCGCUAUCAGUUCCCUCAUCAUCGCUGUGAUUCACACCGUAAACCUGCAAAAGGAAGGAAAAGGGCACAGAAUCGGAACUAAUAUGGCAAGGAAUAAAAUCAGAUUUUGUAACAUUUACUUUCAAAUUUCCAGUGGCUAUAAAAGGCCCAAAUCAAAACAAUGUAAAGGAGCCGGAUUUUUACAAAGACAAUAAUAUACACACGCAUAUACAGAAGAAAGAAAGAAGUCCAAGCAGUUUCUUAAAGGUGAUAUACCGUUAUUUAUUUAUUUAUUUAUUUCAUGCAAAUACUAUUAAAAUAAAUAAAAAGGAAUUUACCGUUGAAAUCACAUUGAAAAUCGAGACUUAUGGGCUUCCGAUCGCCAUACGGGGAGGAGUAGGCGGCGGCGUGUGGGCGCGUGAGUCCGAUGACCGGGGAUCGGCUCGACGGAGACCAGAACUCGGAGGACUGCUCUCAACUCUCUUUCAGAGAGUUUUUCAAGUUUUUUUUUAAAAACCGGGUGCAGAAUGAUUUUAGAACUAAAGUUUGGCUUAUAUAGCACAAAUGAAACGGUGCCGUUUUGGUUUAAUCCAAUAAGCACGAAACGAGGUCGUUUCAAAGCUUAGGAUCCGCGCGUUGACCCGAUGACCCCGGGAGGAUCCGC